rnacentral:tRNA from 1 species
CAAAGAGUAGUUUAAUUGUUAAAAUACUAGCUUUGGGAGUUAGUGAUGAAGGAUAAAAACCUUUCUCUUUGA